rnacentral:tRNA from 3 species
GGCUGUAGCUCAGUUGGAUAGAGUGUUUGGCUACGAACCAAAAGGUCGGGGGUUCGAAUCCCUUCAGCC